GGCUUGGUUCAGUGGCGCACGGGUGCGUAACACGUGGGCAAUCUGCCGGGAAGUGGGGGAUAGCUCGCCGAAAGGCGAAUUAAUACCGCAUGUGGCCAUUCUUUGAUUAAAGGAAAAGCCAAAGCAGCAAUGCGCUUCCUGAUGAGCUCGCGGCCUAUCAGCUAGAUGGCGGGGUAAUGGCCCACCAUGGCUAUGACGGGUAGCUGGUCUGAGAGGACGACCAGCCACACUGGAACUGAGAUACGGUCCAGACACCUACGGGUGGCAGCAGUCGAGAAUUUUUCACAAUGGGGGCAACCCUGAUGGAGCGACGCCGCGUGGAGGAUGAAGGCCUUCGGGUUGUAAACUCCUGUCAUGCGGGAACAAGCAAGUGAUAGUACCGCAAGAGGAAGAGACGGCUAACUCUGUGCCAGCAGCCGCGGUAAUACAGAGGUCUCAAGCGUUGUUCGGAUUCAUUGGGCGUAAAGGGUGCGUAGGUGGUAACGCAAGUCUGGUGUGAAAUCUCGGAGCUUAACUCCGAAAUUGCACCGGAUACUGCGUAACUCGAGGACUGUAGAGGAGAUCGGAAUUCACGGUGUAGCAGUGAAAUGCGUAGAUAUCGUGAGGAAGACCAGUUGCGAAGGCGGAUCUCUGGGCAGUUCCUGACACUGAGGCACGAAGGCCAGGGGAGCAAACGGGAUUAGAUACCCCGGUAGUCCUGGCAGUAAACGGUGCACGUUUGGUGUGGGCGGGUUCAGACCCCGUCCGUGCCGGA
rnacentral:rRNA from 1 species